rnacentral:rRNA from 1 species
UACAGAGGUGGCAAGCGUUGUUCGGAAUUACUGGGCGUAAAGGGCGCGUAGGCGGUCUUGCAAGUCCCGUGUGAAAUCCCUCGGCUCAACUGAGGAACUGCACGGGAAACUGCCUGGCUUGAGUUCGGGAGAGGGAAGCGGAAUUCCAGGUGUAGCGGUGAAAUGCGUAGAUAUCUGGAGGAACACCGGUGGCGAAGGCGGGUCUCUGGGCCGAUACUGACGCUGAGGCGCGAAAGCCAGGGGAGCAAACGGG